AGUUGUAGUUUGUGAUAAUGCGUGCAAAUUAAGCAACAAAAAAUGGGUGUAGGUGAUUAGGUGUAUUAUGGAGUUUUAAUUUGUUAAAUUUCUUGGCGGUAUUGUCCUUUUCCCUUGUUUAUUUGUAUUUUCCUGCUAUUUUGUGUUCCUUUUUGGAAUUUCACUGUCUUUGUUGCAUGUCAGUGUUUAUUUAAAUCGACGAGGCGGGAUACACCGUAGACCUCCUCACGGACUCACCGUCUGAUUUCGGUGCCGCCGAUUCUCUCCGAGCGGCUCUCCAGAAUCCACCAAGCAGUCGUUGCAGCGGUGGACUGCCGUGGACUUCUCGGCCUAACUAAUUGUGUGAUGCUGGAACUGUAGUUUGUUGGGAACUCUGCAGAGGUUAAAUCUUCAAUUUCUUGGCUUGUUGUAUUAGGGAUGUACUCGUAGAAAUUAAUAGGGUUGUUCUAAAAGUUGAUGUUUAUGUUACAGAUAUUGUUAUUGGUAUUUAUACUUCGGAAUGCACAUGUUGGAAUUACACGAUUAUUGCAGGUUGACAUGGAAAAAUAUGCAAGGAAUCUUCCUCUUCACCUUAUUGCAGUGAUUAUGGAUUGGGAAAUGGACAAAUCCACAUUCAAGUAUUUGCUAUGUGGAAUUCUUCUCUUGCAUUCCAUGUUUCAUCUUGCCUCUCGGGUGCCCAAAAUUGAACAGCUUAUCGGAAGUCAAACUGUAUUAUCUAUCAUCGUAUCAAGCAGACGACACCGGUCUAAUUUUUAUAUUGCUUGAUGAUGUGAAGAUAUCAGAACAACUGAUUGACCUGGUCUUCUAUCUGCUAGUUCUACUUGGUCCAUACAGACAUCUUGUAUUAUAAAAUUGUUUCUCCACACUACCAAGAGGUUGCUUAAGCAUUGACUGCAUAUUACAAGGUAGCAAUCCAGGAUUUGGUGAAAACUAAGAACAUUAAAUUACUUGUUUAAUGGUGGACAUAUUCAUAGAGGCAGAAUUUGCUGCUGUUUGUGUAGAUGUCAAGUUUCUGCAGACCAACGAUUCAUUUGGAAGUGCUUUCCCUACCACUGAAGAGACCUUGAAUCACAUCUGCCAGAGUGUGAUUCUUCUCUUCAAUUUCUACAGUCCUUGUGUCAGCAAAAGUUGUUCCGGGAAUGCAUUGUGAAUAACAAGAUUUUAUCCUUUCAUCUGAUUAGAGUUUUCACUGCCUGAAAGCAUUGACAUUUCUUUAAAAUGUCAAAUGUGGUGAAUACAUGUUUCUGCUCCAGGGAACUUGAGCUGGAAUUUCUAUUUUGCAUACAUGUUUCUGCUCCAGGGACUUCAUUUAUUUCUGUCCAAGUGAGAUACUGUUGCACCUUUGUGAAGCUGAAAGUGUAUCCUACCUGGAAGAGGUGGCCAGCAAAACAUCAACUCAGGAUGUGGCAAAGUCUGUUGGACUCAAGGUUCUUGCGUUGCUAAAAAAAAUGUUUAAUGCUCCCUCUGAGGCAAGCUACCCGAAGGGGCAACUGGAACUUAAUGCAAUGCGCUUGGCAGAUGUCUUGUCAGAUGAUUCAAAUUUUCUGUCAUUCAUCAUGAUAAACUUUAUGAGAAGGAUCUGUCAACAAGUUCGUUCGGUUCAUAUGGAAGGACUAUCAGAAACUGUCAGAUGGAUUCUUCUCUCUACUUCAAAGCUGACAAAGUAUCCACAAUUAGCAAGAACUUAUGUAUUCAUGCUUCUAAUACACUAUUGCAUGUAGUAGUACAUAUCUAUAUUCUAAUACACCAUUGCAUGUAGGUUCAUUAUUAAGUCAUGAUUUUUGAAUGAAGAUGAUGUACAACUGCUGAGGUAAUUUCAAUGUAUGCUUUCCUUCCAUGCUGAUAUCGGGCAUUAAUUAUUUGUUUGUCCUAUCUUUCUUAGUUUACAAUUUAGCUAAUGAAACAUUCUAUCACAUGGUCAUUAUGCUGCUUCUUAUAUUUAGGUAAUAAACCUGCUUCACUCAACACAUUUAUUCAUUAUCUGCAUUCUAUAGAUAGGUAAUCUUCUUCGUGGGUUAUUUAUAAGUCAUUUUGUGUCCCGGAUCGUUCGUGCUGCAUCUGAAGAUCAUUUAGUCCAUGUAAAACCUCUCAUGCUUAACCUAUGGAUAUCAUUCAUCUUUUUCCAUAAAAUGUUAAGUGCAUCUGUUUUGUUUAUGGGGUCUUAAUAGAAAUGAUCUUUACCUUAGCACAUAUAUAUUUUUAUCACUAACCAUUUUUUAUAUUACCUUUAGGACUAGCUUCCUAUAUUGAACUCUCGGCCCAGAUGAAAAAAAGAGUAGCCCAAUGCUACAUAUUUUUUGUAAGAGAUCAUCUCAUGUAUCUUUUCUUGUGAUGUUGUAAUUACCUUUUCUAGUGAUGUAAGACAAAACUUACACUUGAUAAUAGAAAACAAAAGAUAUUUUUAUAAUAUAAAACGUUUCCUUCCUUUCGCUUAAGAUUUGAAAAUCAUGUAAAUAAAAACCACGUUUAAAUAACACUUAAUUUGCUCAGGGUCUUACAUUAUAUGCAAAUGAUUUUACACUGUUUUGUAGGGCAUAAGCUUCAUAAAAAAGGAGUUUUAAUGCAGAAAAGGAAGGUAGGAAGGUAAGACUAUCUUGUAAAGAUGACAGGAAAGAUGGCACUAUAUAUUUAAAGAAAACAAUGUAAUUGAUCAAUCAAAAUUGAAUAUCGCAAAGUUUCGAAGAUGAUCUAAAUUGAUAGAGUAAAUUUUUUUGUUCUGCUAAAGAUAUACUGGUAGAGGUUUGUUUUCAGCAUUUUGGUAUGUCAGCAGGUAGUUUUACAAGCAAGUAGUUUUCCCAUACGUAUUCGAGGAUUCUGGUAACUCUACCUCAAAUCCUAGUCUUUGAGGAUUCUGGUAAGUUUACUUCUCAUCUUAUUUGGGUGUUAUUCAAACUUGUAUAUACUCAACUUGUGAUGUUUCCUACUUAUACAUGAGAGCCUAGCUGCUAUUUAUUCUCAUCUGUGGCUGAAAUGUUAAUUUUAUAGAGAAUUUAAAUGUUAUUUUCUCUUUGUAACUGACAUGUUAUUAUUGAGAGUAAAUUUCUGAAAGGUUGCUGUCAUGGUUCUUUAAUAUAUGCAUCUCCCUAUUUUUUAAUGAAUUUAGACGCAUCACCAAUAGAUAAACAAGGGAUAUUAGCUUCAUAAAUAUCCGAAAGUGCCAUAGUACUACUGCUUUGUUAUGAGAACAAAAAGCUUCCACAAACAGACUUUCAACACUUGCUAUUUGUGUGUGCAUGCAAGAUUUUCUCUAUAUUGAUUGUAACUAACACACUUUUUUAUGGGUUAUUAGUGUAGACUUCGUUUCUCUCAAGGGUUGGUCUGCAAACUUGUUGUUGCUUACUAACUUCUGGAGAGCUAGGUUUCCCGUGCUUCAGAUAAAGUGACAAUAGUGUUCUUUGGUGUCCGAUUUCUUGAGCUAAGGAGAGAGAACUAUUCCGGUUUUGAAAAAUUAAUUGAAAAAGCCAUAUGGUCGAUCGACUGAAUGAGAGCUUUACGAGUUGCAAUCUUGUUGAUAUUGGUGCAUAAUAAUGAUUUGGGCAAUAGGACUAAAAGCCUCAUAUCCAAAUUAUCACAUGCCUAACCCUGCAUAUACCCCUAGUGAGCCAGUUUGAGCCCCCAAAGCCUAAUUUCUUUGUUAAAAAUAUUGAAGUCACUAUAUUAGCCUAUCUAUUAUAUCCAUUCAUUGGCCUGUAUUUUCUACCCCAGUCGCUAAAAUUAAAGUGCUAGCACAUUCUUGGGAUGGUAUUUAUGGUGGCAAGAAAAAGAUGGAAGUCCUAGAACAUUCAUUUGGUGAUAUUCAUUUUUCCUGAGAUGUGUAAAAAAAGCCAAGGCUCGAAAAAAAAUAAGUAAAAUGGCAGCCUUUCAUGUGUAAAAAAAGCCAAGGCUCGAAAAAAUAAAAAUAAGAAGGCAGCCUUUCAUGUUUAAAAAAGCCAAGGCUCAAAAAAAAGAAAAAGGCAGCCUUUCAUAUGUGUAAAAAAGGCAAGGCAGGAAAAAAGUAAAAAUAAAAAGGCAGCCUUUCAUGUGUAAAAAAAGCCAAUGCUAGAAAAAAAAAUAUUGAGCGAAAAUUAGAAAUGGUUAAAGAACGCUCAAAAGAAUAAGAUGAAUUGGUUUAGAUGGUAGAAAAUCUCAAGUUUGGGGUGUUGAGCUAUCAGAAUUUUGUACGCAUUGAGUGAGAUGUGAAGGAUGUUUUGAUGGAUGUGCUAGCAUUUUAAUAAUGGUGGUAACCUACUUAACCAUAUAUGAUCACACCUUUACCAAAAGCCCCAUUACAUCCAAAUGAAUAAGACCUUUUCAUUUAUGCAUCAUAUUGACUUGUGAGCAAUGAAUUUUGUUUGAGUUUGGGAGAAAGAUCUUAUGUGCUUAAAAUAAAGAAUAGCCGGAAGAACUUCUCUUUAGGAAUUAGCGACGAUGGUUUGAGACUCCCAAGACAUAACUCGAACUUAGAUUGAAGCAUUGGGAUGCCUAGCUCUUAGGGAAUUAGUUCGUGUACAGUUGUUGUUCUAAAGUCUUACCCGCGAGAGAAUUCGGGGUCAACCUAAUUUCUCUAAUGAUUUGUGCGAUUUGGCCUGACUUGAAGUAGAGGAUUAUCUAAUGUCUUGUGUGUGUGCUUAAUUGUCUAACUUGCUUGAGGGCGAGCUUUAUAAUUUAUCUGUUACAUAUAUUAUAUUUUUGUGAGUUAUACUGUGCAUGACGUGUUUCUACUUUUUCUAAUCCACUUUUUUGCUACCUUGCAGCUUUAUAAUUAACACAUACAUAAUAUUCUAUUUUUAUGUGUCAUAUGCCGUGUACAAAUAUGUGCUUUAGUUGUGUUUCUUUGAUAUAUAAACCCCAUUGAUUGUCAAAUCUGGCAUCUUAAUAUAUCUGUUAAAUGUAUGUCCAUGAUUAUGUUGUUUCUGGUAUCAAAUGGUCAUUAUAGAAUUCUGCAAAUAUCUGCAAAGGUAAAAGCGAUUUAUAUGCUAGAGCAUUUGUUACUGUCCUCAAUCUUGGCAAAGGUAAAUGUGGUAUUCAUAGUAUUUUCUAAGAUAAUUUGGAGUUUUAUGUUGUAAUUGUCCGUAUGUUGGUAUGUCCUACUUAGAAUAUGUUCCGGUAUUAUAUGAAUUAUCUGCGGUGUAUAGUCUCUGAUAUUCUAUUCUAUUACCUAUGAUGUUUGUCUAAUCUGUUGUUUUGUUAUUCUCUUUUAGUAUCUGACUCUUCCGUCCAUGUUUGGAACAGGCUUCAGCAUCAGAAGCUCAGGACUAGAUAUCUUUUUAUUAUAAAUAACUUGUCCACUGCAAAUGUUGAGGCUAAAGCUAAUGAGUUUAUUGAAAUUUUGAAUUUUAUACUAUCCGUCCAUGUUUGGAACAGGCUCCAGCAUCAGAAGCUCAGGACUAGAUAUCUGGUUUGCGUUGUAUAUAGUUAUGGAGAGGGAGAGAUUUAGCUUGACACUACAUUCCUUACCUUAAAUAGUUCUCUGGAUGCAAUUUACCUUUGGAGUUACUCUUUCUGUUUGGCAUUUUGAAAUAUUUUGAAAUACAAUUGAAACAUUUGAACAGAGAUAUUGUGCAAGCCAUUUAUGUAAACUGCAAGGUUUGAUUUUUCUACUUACUUAAUUCAUUUUGGAAAGCCGGUUUUUAUUCUUGGUAUUUGUACUAUGUCUAGGUUCUGUUUUAAACAGAACUUGUAAAAUCUAGUGUGGAAGACUAUCACUGCUGAAAAUUUAGGAAGCUGGCUUGGGAAGAUUACUAUUGGAAAAAAUCAAGUUCUAAGGGAACGAGUGAUAGAUUCUUCUUUUCGUCUGUUUUGUUUUUGAGUUUACUUCAUAAACUUGGAGUUGGGUUGUCUGAAAUCCUCAUGUUGCAAUAAAUAUUAUUAUCUCAUCUUCUUGAUUCAAAUUUUUUUAUGACACAUGGAAGUAUAUUAUUUGUUGAAUGCUUUUAAGGGACUCAGGAUGCCUGUUGGUCCUUUUACCUCAAAGGUACGAUCCAUGGUUUAUUUUUUAUGUACUUGCGAGUCCAAGUUUAUUUCAACUCAAAAUGUGUUUGUUUUAGAUUUUCAAAGCCUGUUCAAACAGCAUUGCAUACGGGCCUCCUCACCCUUGGGCAGUGGUUCUGUUUAAGCAUUUAAGUGUUGACCUCAAGGAUGUCACACCCUCUUCUCUUCUAAAGGAUGUAGUUUGACAAUUUGAAGGAUCAGUCAUUAAGCAUCAACUUGUUACUCACCUUAUGCCUGGGCAUUGCUUUACGAGCUAUUUCAGUUGCUCAUACUGAACCUGAUGUUGGCCAUAGUUCCAAUACUAAUCACCGACCCGGUCUUAUUCAAUCUUCUGCUCCACAGAUUGAGCUGAAAGUGUAUCCUACCUGGAUGAGGUGGCCAGCAACACAGCAACUCAGGAUAUAGCAAAGUUUGUUGGACUCGAGGUUCUUGCAUUGCUAAAAAAAAUGUUUAAUGCUCCCUCCGCAGCAAGCUAACCCGAAGGGGCAACUGGAACUUAAUGCAAUGCGCUUGGCAGUUGUCUUCUCAGAUGAUUCAAAUUUUCGGUCAUUCAUCAUGAUAAACUUUAUAAGCUUUCCAUCAGUACAACUAAUUUUAAAAUUUUAGAGUGCCAUGGAUUCCGUGCCAUGGUUUCUUUGCUAUUCAUGAUUGAAGGUCGAAAAGACUCGAACAUGACAUCUGAGUUUCUUAGAAAAUGUUUUUGCCUAUUUGAACACACCAAUGAUGUGCUUGAAGAUAUUUUUUGAUCAAAUUGCUGGUUUUAACAAAUGGAUAUUAAUUUUAUGAAAGUAACUUUUUAAUGAAAAGGUGAGAGUUUGAGCACC